UAGGGAAUCUUCGGCAAUGGACGGAAGUCUGACCGAGCAACGCCGCGUGAGUGAAGAAGGUUUUCGGAUCGUAAAGCUCUGUUGUAAGAGAAGAACGAGUGUGAGAGUGGAAAGUUCACACUGUGACGGUAUCUUACCAGAAAGGGACGGCUAACUACGUGCCAGCAGCCGCGGUAAUACGUAGGUCCCGAGCGUUGUCCGGAUUUAUUGGGCGUAAAGCGAGCGCAGGCGGUUAGAUAAGUCUGAAGUUAAAGGCUGUGGCUUAACCAUAGUACGCUUUGGAAACUGUUUAACUUGAGUGCAAGAGGGGAGAGUGGAAUUCCAUGUGUAGCGGUGAAAUGCGUAGAUAUAUGGAGGAACACCGGUGGCGAAAGCGGUUCUCUGGCUUGUAACUGACGCUGAGGCUCGAAAGCGUGGGGAGCAAACAGGAUUAGAUACCCUGGUAGUCCACGCCGUNNCGAUGAGUGCUAGGUGUUAGACCCUUUCCGGGGUUUAGUGNCGUAGCUNACGCAUUAAGCACUCCGCCUGGGGAGUACGACCGCAAGGNU
rnacentral:rRNA from 1 species